GACGAACGCUGGCGGCGUGCUUAACACAUGCCAGUCGAACGGAAAGGCCCUGCUUUUGUGGGGUGCUCGAGUGGCGAACGGGUGAGUAACACGUGAGUAACCUGCCCUUGACUUUGGGAUAACUUCAGGAAACUGGGGCUAAUACCGGAUAGGAGCUCCUGCUGCAUGGUGGGGGUUGGAAAGUUUCGGCGGUUGGGGAUGGACUCGCGGCUUAUCAGUUUGUUGGUGGGGUAGUGGCUUACCAAGGCUUUGACGGGUAGCCGGCCUGAGAGGGUGACCGGCCACAUUGGGACUGAGAUACGGCCCAGACUCCUACGGGAGGCAGCAGUGGGGAAUAUUGCACAAUGGGCGGAAGCCUGAUGCAGCAACGCCGCGUGCGGGAUGACGGCCUUCGGGUUGUAAACCGCUUUCGCCUGUGACGAAGCGUGAGUGACGGUAAUGGGUAAAGAAGCACCGGCUAACUACGUG
rnacentral:rRNA from 1 species